ACCCAACAUCACAUAGAAUCAUGCACACGCACUUGCGUUAACGCGGCGUCGACUCGCGUCUCAUUUGCGGCGAAAGCUACCGCAAAGUCACCGCUUUUCCCCACAGGAACGCAGCGUGCACGCGAGUAUUUUUUUGACAUUUCUCUAUUCUUUUUCUUUCCAACAAGAUUUCUAGUGGGAAAAUCUGCAGAAAGAAUCUGUCAGAGCGAAAUCAAAACAAACAAAAAUACUUCGCUAAUCAGUUCAUUUUGGUUUCGCAAAUUAGUUUGCAAAUAACAAAACGUUUCAAAUCUAACUUCUUUAAAUAAUAGUGCUAGUAAUAGUUCGGAGCAGCAAGUGUUUCUUUCGCUCCUAUGUUAAUACCAGCCGUGAUCAACACACCUUUGGAAAGAAGUGACAAGCAAACAUCCCAGGCUGGCGAAUAGUGUUAAAGUCAACAGAAAUAUGUGCGCGAUAGUGACGUUGAUUGUACCAACUUUAUCAGAAUAAAUUGAUUUCCGAACAGACGGCGAUGUGACAGUUUUGGACUGAAUGACGGAGCAGGCAAAAUACAACCAACAAAGUGUAUUCCGCGGGACCCUGUAUAAACCAAGGCAGGCGAUACCAGUUCCAUGGGAAGAAUAAUAAAUGAAUGUUGACGUAAGGAUGUCGUCAAACAAUGUGGAUUGCAAUUGCAAAAAGAAACGGGACCACAUUAUGAGAUGAUGGCGAGCCACAGUAAGACUCCGGGAUCAGUGCGACUCUUCUAGUGUUGUGGGCAACGCUAUUGCGAUACAACAAAAUGAUUCGUCCCUAUUUAGCUGAUAAAUUAAAUUAAUAAAGAAUCGUACCCCAAAGACAACAUAUGAUGGAUUCAAGAUAAGAACAAUUAAAUGUCUGGAUCCACAAUUAUUCAAGAUUAAUCUACCCCUAUGAAGUAAUAAAUUAAGUUCGAAAUAAAG